rnacentral:lncRNA from 1 species
AUGCCAGGGCCAAGAGUUGGGAGAGGCCACUUCACCUCCGACAACCCUCUCAAGGCUAUCCUCGAUGUACCUGGGCUGUGGUCCCAGGUCAGCCAGAACUUGUUAAAAAAGAAAGGAAAACAAAGCUGCAUGAGUUUUAUGUUCCUGCAUCUCCUGUGGUGUUACACAGCAGUGUGUACAGUGUGGUUUUCUUACCCAGGGCUGCAAGGCUUGUCAACACCAGAAACCUCAGCAUGUCUGCACAAUGUCAGAAUGUGUCUGCGAGGAAUCAGACCUUUCCCCCUGCUUUUAUACCUCUCUACAGUGGAAAAUUGAGGCUGUUGUGUCAAGCAUGGGAAACACACCUGUGAUCCGUCUCACAAUGUGUUAUCAGUUGGUCAGCACACACCUCCUACUUUCAAUGUUUAAAAAUGCUGCACAAGGAGCAAAACAAUUAUAACAUAUUUGAUAAAAUCUGUCACAGUUUUCCUUGCUUUGUAUUUGUGGAUGAAAACAUCUUCUUUUCUGGUAAUUUAGGUGGAUAUGUUGAAGAAAGCCUGGGUAAGAUGUACAGGUAGUUUCUUUUCAUACAAAUACUGUGAAUUUUUUCUUUGAGUAAACAUGUUUUUUUUUCCUUGCCAAAAUUCUCCACCUUUAAGUCUUGAGAGAUUUUUGCUUGUUGUGUCUCUCUAACAAAUGGAAAUAAAUACAUACCAAAGAAGUGGCUACCAAUUGAUACAACCAGUCCACUGGAGAUAAGGCACAGAUCCAGUUUAAACCAGUAGCAUGUGGACUGGUUGCUCUCGCAGAAGGACACGUGUGUGUGAUGUGUGUGUUAAGGAAUACAGUCAAUAAACCAGUCUAAAUCAACACAGUUUAAAGAAAAGGUGCACUGCCUGAAGUCUCAAGUUCAAUGAGGGUAAAUUAAUAGUGCCUUAAAAUGGAUCUUUUGAUUUCGUCGCUGUUUAUGAUGAUUGGUUUUAAUUAAA